GAUGAACGCUGGCGGCGUGCCUAAUACAUGCCAGUCGAGCGAACAGACGAGGAGCUUGCUCCUCUGACGUUAGCGGCGGACGGGUGAGUAACACGUGGAUAACCUACCUAUAAGACUGGGAUAACUUCGGGAAACCGGAGCUAAUACCGGAUAACAUGUUGAACCGCAUGGUUCAACAGUGAAAGACGGUCUUGCUGUCACUUAUAGAUGGAUCCGCGCCGCAUUAGCUAGUUGGUAAGGUAACGGCUUACCAAGGCAACGAUGCGUAGCCGACCUGAGAGGGUGAUCGGCCACACUAGAACUGAGACACGGUCCAGACUCCUACGGGAGGCAGCAGUAGGGAAUCUUCCGCAAUGGGCGAAAGCCUGACGGAGCAACGCCGCGUGAGUGAAGAAGGUCUUCGGAUCGUAAAACUCUGUUAUUAGGGAAGAACAAAUGUGUAAGUAACUAUGCACGUCUUGACGGUACCUAAUCAGAAAGCCACGGCUAACUACGUG
rnacentral:rRNA from 1 species